rnacentral:rRNA from 1 species
AGAGUUUGAUUAUGGCUCAGGACGAACGCUGGCGGCGUGCCUAACACAUGCAAGUCGAGCGAGGAGAUCCUUCGGGAUGAUCCUAGCGGCGGACGGGUGAGUAACACGUGGGCAACCUGCCUCAUAGAGAGGAAUAGCCUUCCGAAAGGGAGAUUAAUACCUCAUAACAUUGCAGUUUCGCAUGGAACAGCAAUUAAAGGAGUAAUCCGCUAUGAGAUGGGCCCGCGGCGCAUUAGCUAGUUGGUGAGGUAACGGCUCACCAAGGCGACGAUGCGUAGCCGACCUGAGAGGGUGAUCGGCCACAUUGGGACUGAGACACGGCCCAGACUCCUACGGGAGGCAGCAGUGGGGAAUAUUGCACAAUGGGGGAAACCCUGAUGCAAGCAACGCCGCGUGAGUGAUGACGGCCUUCGGGUUGUAAAGCUCUGUCUUCAGGGACGAUAAUGACGGUACCUGAGGAGGAAGCCACGGCUAACUACGUGCCAGCAGCGGC